rnacentral:rRNA from 1 species
GAUGAACGCUGGCGGCGUGCCUAAUACAUGCAAGUCGAGCGAACAGACGAGGAGCUUGCUCCUCUGACGUUAGCGGCGGACGGGUGAGUAACACGUGGAUAACCUACCUAUAAGACUGGGAUAACUUCGGGAAACCGGAGCUAAUACCGGAUAAUAUAUUGAACCGCAUGGUUCAAUAGUGAAAGACGGUUUUGCUGUCACUUAUAGAUGGAUCCGCGCCGCAUUAGCUAGUUGGUAAGGUAACGGCUUACCAAGGCAACGAUGCGUAGCCGACCUGAGAGGGUGAUCGGCCACACUGGAACUGAGACACGGUCCAGACUCCUACGGGAGGCAGCAGUAGGGAAUCUUCCGCAAAGGGCGAAAGCCUGACGGAGCAACGCCGCGUGAGUGAUGAAGGUAUUCGGAUCGUAAAACUCUGUUAUUAGGGAAGAACAAAUGUGUAAGUAACUAUGCACGUCUUGACGGUACCUAAUCAGAAAGCCACGGCUAACUACGUG